CUACGGGUCGCUGCAGUGAGGAAUAUUGCACAAUGGAGGAAACUCUGAUGCAGCAACGCCGCGUGGAGGAUGACGCAUUUCGGUGUGUAAACUCCUUUUAUAUGUCAAGAAAAUGACGGUAGCAUAUGAAUAAGCACCGGCUAACUCCGUGCCAGCAGCCGCGGUAAUACGGAGGGUGCAAGCGUUACUCGGAAUCACUGGGCGUAAAGGACGCGUAGGCGGGAUAUCAAGUCAGGUGUGAAAUCCUACAGCUUAACUGUAGAACUGCACUUGAAACUGGUAACCUAGAGUAUGGGAGGGGGAGAUGGAAUUAGUGGUGUAGGGGUAAAAUCCGUAGAUAUCACUAGGAAUACCUAAAGCGAAGGCGAUCUCCUGGAACAUAACUGACGCUAAGGCGUGAAAGCGUGGGGAGCAAACAGGAUUAGAUACCCGAGUAGUC
rnacentral:rRNA from 1 species